rnacentral:rRNA from 1 species
CGGGUGAGUAACGCGUGAGGAACCUGCCUCAAAGAGGGGGACAACAGUUGGAAACGACUGCUAAUACCGCAUAAGCCCACGGCUCGGCAUCGAGCAGAGGGAAAAGGAGCAAUCCGCUUUGAGAUGGCCUCGCGUCCGAUUAGCUAGUUGGUGAGGUAGCGGCCCACCAAGGCGACGAUCGGUAGCCGGACUGGGAGGUUGAACGGCCACAUUGGGACUGAGACACGGCCCAG